rnacentral:rRNA from 1 species
UACGUAGGGUGCGAGCGUUGUCCGGAAUUAUUGGGCGUAAAGAGCUUGUAGGCGGUUUGUCGCGUCUGCUGUGAAAGUCGGGGGCUCAACCCUCGGAAGCCGGUGGAUACUGUCGGGCUCGAGUCCGGAAGAGGCGAGUGGAAUUCCCGGUGUAGCGGUGAAAUGCGCAGAUAUCGGGAGGAACACCAAUGGCGAAGGCAGCUCGCUGGGACGGUACUGACGCUGAGACGCGAAAGCGUGGGGAGCAAACAGGG